CAACCUCAACUCAUAUGGGACUACCCCCUGAAUUUAAGCAUAUUAAUUAGGGGAGGAAAAGAAACUAACAAGGAUUUUCUUAGUAGCGGCGAGCGAAAAGAAAUCAGUUCAGCACUAAGUCACUUUGUCUAUAUGGCAAAUGUGAGAUGCAGUGUAUGGAGCGUCAAUAUUCUAGUAUGAGAAAUUAACGAUUUAAGUCCUUCUUAAAUGAGGCCAUUUACCCAUAGAGGGUGCCAGGCCCGUAUAACGUUAAUGAUUACUAGAUGAUGUUUCCAAAGAGUCGUGUUGCUUGAUAGUGCAGCACUAAGUGGGUGGUAAACUCCAUCUAAAACUAAAUAUAACCAUGAGACCGAUAGUAAACAAGUACCGUGAGGGAAAGUUGAAAAGAACUCUGAAUAGAGAGUUAAACAGUACGUGAAACUGCUUAGAGGUUAAGCCCGAUGAACCUGAAUAUCCGUUAUGGAAAAUUCAUCAUUAGAAUUGUAAUAUUUAAACAAUAUUAUGAUAAUAGUGUGCAUUUUUUCCAUAUAAGGACAUUGUAAUCUAUUAGCAUACCAAAUUUAUCAUAAAAUAUAACUUAUAGUUUAUUCAAAUUAAUUUGCUUGCAUUUUAACACAGAAUAAAUGUUAUUAAUUUGAUAAAGUGCUGAUAGAUUUAUAUGAAUACAGUGCGUUAAUUUUUCGGAAUUAUAUAAUGGCAUAAUUAUCAUUGAUUUUUGUGUUUAUUAUAUGCACUUGUAGGAUUAACAAUGCGAAAGAUUCAGGAUACCUUCGGGACCCGUCUUGAAACACGGACCAAGGAGUCUAACAUAUGUGCAAGUUAUUGGGAUAUAAACCUAAUAGCGUAAUUAACUUGACUAAUAAUGGGAUUAGUUUUUUAACUAUUUAUAGCUAAUUAACACAAUCCCGGGGCGUUCUAUAUAGUUAUGUAUAAUGAUAUUUAUAUUAUUUAUGCCUCUAACUGGAACGUACCUUGAGCAUAUAUGCUGUGACCCGAAAGAUGGUGAACUAUACUUGAUCAGGUUGAAGUCAGGGGAAACCCUGAUGGAAGACCGAAACAGUUCUGACGUGCAAAUCGAUUGUCAGAAUUGAGUAUAGGGGCGAAAGACCAAUCGAACCAUCUAGUAGCUGGUUCCUUCCGAAGUUUCCCUCAGGAUAGCUGGUGCAUUUUAAUAUUAUAUAAAAUAAUCUUAUCUGGUAAAGCGAAUGAUUAGAGGCCUUAGGGUCGAAACGAUCUUAACCUAUUCUCAAACUUUAAAUGGGUAAGAACCUUAACUUUCUUGAUAUGAAGUUCAAGGUUAUGAUAUAAUGUGCCCAGUGGGCCACUUUUGGUAAGCAGAACUGGCGCUGUGGGAUGAACCAAACGUAAUGUUACGGUGCCCAAAUUAACAACUCAUGCAGAUACCAUGAAAGGCGUUGGUUGCUUAAAACAGCAGGACGGUGAUCAUGGAAGUCGAAAUCCGCUAAGGAGUGUGUAACAACUCACCUGCCGAAGCAACUAGCCCUUAAAAUGGAUGGCGCUUAAGUUGUAUACCUAUACAUUACCGCUAAAGUAGAUGAUUUAUAUUACUUGUAAUAUAAAUUUUGAAACUUUAGUGAGUAGGAAGGUACAAUGGUAUGCGUAGAAGUGUUUGGCGUAAGCCUGCAUGGAGCUGCCAUUGGUACAGAUCUUGGUGGUAGUAGCAAAUAAUCGAAUGAGACCUUGGAGGACUGAAGUGGAGAAGGGUUUCGUGUGAACAGUGGUUGAUCACGAGUUAGUCGGUCCUAAGUUCAAGGCGAAAGCCGAAAAUUUUCAAGUAAAAUACAAAUGCCAAACAAAUAUAUAUAUUAUAUAAAAUCUAGCUAAAUUAAUAUACUUGAAUAAUUUUGAACGAAAGGGAAUACGGUUCCAAUUCCGUAACCUGUUGAGUAUCCGUUUGUUAUUAAAUAUGGGCCUCGUGCUCAUCCUGGCAACAGGAACGACCAUAAAGAAGCCGUCGAGAGAUAUCGGAAGAGUUUUCUUUUCUGUUUUAUAGCCGUACUACCAUGGAAGUCUUUCGCAGAGAGAUAUGGUAGAUGGGCUAGAAGAGCAUGACAUAUACUGUUGUGUCGAUAUUUUCUCCUCGGACCUUGAAAAUUUAUGGUGGGGACACGCAAACUUCUCAACAGGCCGUACCAAUAUCCGCAGCUGGUCUCCAAGGUGAAGAGUCUCUAGUCGAUAGAAUAAUGUAGGUAAGGGAAGUCGGCAAAUUAGAUCCGUAACUUCGGGAUAAGGAUUGGCUCUGAAGAUUGAGAUAGUCGGGCUUGAUUGGGAAACAAUAACAUGGUUUAUGUGCUCGUUCUGGGUAAAUAGAGUUUCUAGCAUUUAUGUUAGUUACUUGUUCCCCGGAUAGUUUAGUUACGUAGCCAAUUGUGGAACUUUCUUGCUAAAAUUUUUAAGAAUACUAAUUGGGUUAAACCAAUUAGUUCUUAUUAAUUAUAACGAUUAUCAAUUAACAAUCAAUUCAGAACUGGCACGGACU